UUGAACGCUGGCGGCAGGCCUAACACAUGCAAGUCGCGCGGAUGAAGGGAGCUUGCUCCUGGAUUCAGCGACGGACGGGUGAGUAAUGCCUAGGAAUCUGCCUGGUAGUGGGGGAUAACGUCCGGAAACGGGCGCUAAUACCGCAUACGUCCUGAGGGAGAAAGUGGGGGAUCUUCGGACCUCACGCUAUCAGAUGAGCCUAGGUCGGAUUAGCUAGUUGGUGGGGUAAAGGCCUACCAAGGCGACGAUCCGUAACUGGUCUGAGAGGAUGAUCAGUCACACUGGAACUGAGACACGGUCCAGACUCCUACGGGAGGCAGCAGUGGGGAAUAUUGGACAAUGGGCGAAAGCCUGAUCCAGCCAUGCCGCGUGUGUGAAGAAGGUCUUCGGAUUGUAAAGCACUUUAAGUUGGGAGGAAGGGCAGUAAGUUAAUACCUUGCUGUUUUGACGUUACCAACAGAAUAAGCACCGGCUAACUUCGUG
rnacentral:rRNA from 1 species